rnacentral:rRNA from 1 species
GACAGAGGGGGCAAGCGUUGCUCGGAAUCACUGGGCGUAAAGGGCGCGUAGGCGGGAUGGCAAGUCAGUCGUGAAAUCUCUCGGCUCAACCGAGAAACGUCGGCUGAUACUGCCGUUCUUGAGGGAUGCAGAGGAGACUGGAAUUCCCGGUGUAGCGGUGAAAUGUGUAGAGAUCGGGAGGAACACCGGUGGCGAAGGCGGGUCUCUGGGCAUUAACUGACGCUGAGGAGCGAAAGCAUGGGGAGCGAACAGG